ACGGGAGGCAGCAGUGGGGAAUAUUGGGCAAUGGGCGAAAGCCUGACCCAGCAACGCCGCGUGAGGGAAGAAGGUUUUCGGAUUGUAAACCUCUGUCCUAGGUGACGAAGGAAGUGACGGUAGCCAAGGAGGAAGCCCCGGCUAACUACGUGCCAGCAGCCGCGAUAAUACGUAGGGGGCGAGCGUUGUCCGGAAUGACUGGGCGUAAAGGGCGUGUAGGCGGCUUUUUAAGUCUGGAGUGAAAGUCCUGCUUUCAAGGUGGGAAUUGCUUUGGAGACUGGAGAGCUUGAGUGCGGAAGAGGUAAGUGGAAUUCCCAGUGUAGCGGUGAAAUGCGUAGAGAUUGGGAGGAACACCAGUGGCGAAGGCGACUUACUGGACGGUAACUGACGUUGAGGCUCGAAAGCGUGGGGAGCAAACAGGAUUAGAUACCCUGGUA
rnacentral:rRNA from 1 species